CGUGCAGGAUUUCUUGAGAUCGUCCGGGUCUACAACAGUGGACUUCCCACUCUAGACCCUGCAGUUCUUACUGCUUUUGUUGAUAGGUGGAGACCAGAGACGCACACCUUCCACACACCUUGUGGAGAAAUGACUAUCACAUUGCAGGAUGUGAAGAUGAUAUUGUGUUUGAGUUUGUCUGGUCAUCCGGUGACUGGGGUCGUCGAUGAGUCUACUUGGCUAGACUUGGUACAGGAGUUUUGUGGCAGGCGGCCAUCAGAUGCUGAAGUUAAAGGCACCAA